rnacentral:tRNA from 1 species
CAAGAGGUAGUUUGAUUCCAAGAAUUUUGG